rnacentral:rRNA from 1 species
UACGUAGGGUGCAAGCGUUAAUCGGAAUUACUGGGCGUAAAGCGUGCGCAGGCGGUUCGCCGUGUCCGAUGUGAAAGCCCCGGGCUUAACCUGGGAAUGGCAUUGGAAACUGGCGGGCUUGAGUGUGGCAGAGGGGGGUGGAAUUCCACGUGUAGCAGUGAAAUGCGUAGAUAUGCGGAGGAACACCGAUGGCGAAGGCAGUCCCCUGGGACGGUACUGACGCUGAGACGCGAAAAGCGUGGGGAGCGAACAGG